rnacentral:rRNA from 1 species
AAGUCGUAACAAGGUUUCCGUAGGUGAACCUGCGGAAGGAUCAUUACCGAGUGCGGGCCCUCGUGGCCCAACCUCCCACCCUUGUCUCUAUACACCUGUUGCCUUGGCGGGCCCACCGGGGCCACCUGGUCGCCGGGGGACAUCUGUCCCCGGGCCCGCGCCCGCCGAAGCGCUCUGUGAACCCUGAUGAAGAUGGGCUGUCUGAGUACUAUGAAAAUUGUCAAAAUUUUCAACAAUGGAUCUCUUGGUUCCGGCAUCGAUGAAGAACGCAGCGAAAUGCGAUAAGUAAUGUGAAUUGCAGAAUUCCGUGAAUCAUCGAAUCUUUGAACGCACAUUGCGCCCCCUGGCAUUCCGGGGGGCAUGCCUGUCCGAGCGUCAUUUCUGCCCUCAAGCACGGCUUGUGUGUUGGGUGCGGUCCCCCCGGGGACCUGCCCGAAAGGCAGCGGCGACGUCCGUCUGGUCCUCGAGCGUAUGGGGCUUUGUCACUCGCUCGGGAAGGACUGGCGGGGGUUGGUCACCACCAAAAUUAUACCACGGUUGACCUCGGAUCAGGUAGGAGUUACCCGCUGAACUUAA